rnacentral:rRNA from 1 species
GAUGAACGCUGGCGGCGUGCCUAAUACAUGCAAGUCGAGCGAACAGACGAGGAGCUUGCUCCUCUGACGUUAGCGGCGGACGGGUGAGUAACACGUGGAUAACCUACCUAUAAGACUGGGAUAACUUCGGGAAACCGGAGCUAAUACCGGAUAAUAUAUUGAACCGCAUGGUUCAAUAGUGAAAGACGGUUUUGCUGUCACUUAUAGGUGGAUCCGCGCCGCAUUAGCUAGUUGGUAAGGUAACGGCUUACCAAGGCAACGAUGCGUAGCCGACCUGAGAGGGUGAUCGGCCACACUGGAACUGAGACACGGUCCAGACUCCUACGGGAGGCAGCAGUAGGGAAUCUUCCGCAAUGGGCGAAAGCCUGACGGAGCAACGCCGCGUGAGUGAUGAAGGUCUUCGGAUCGUAAAACUCUGUUAUUAGGGAAGAACAAAUGUGUAAGUAACUAUGCACGUCUUGACGGUACCUAAUCAGAAAGCAACGGCUAACUACGUG